rnacentral:miRNA from 1 species
AGCAGAAAUGCCCCAGCUCCC